GUUAGUCUAGGGGCUUCGGUCUUAUUUCGGCUGUGCGCUCAGGCUGCACGCCGUUAACCUCUCACACCUGUGCACCUUUUCGGUUGCGGUUUCGGCCGCUUCCGCUUUUACAUGCAACCACGAAAAGUCUAGAAUGUGACGAGAACUAUAAAGUAACAACUUUCAACAACGGAUCUCUUGGCUCUCGCAUCGAUGAAGAACGCAGCGAAAUGCGAUAAGUAAUGUGAAUUGCAGAAUUCAGUGAAUCAUCGAAUCUUUGAACGCACCUUGCGCUCCUUGGUAUUCCAUGGAGCAUGCCUGUUUGAGUGUCACGUAAACCCUCACCCCUGCGAUGUAACAGUCGCCUGCGGUGGACUUGGACCGUGCCGGUAAUCGGCUCGUCUUGAAAUGCAUUAGCUGGUGCUUUUAGAGUGCUGGGCGAACGGUGUGAUAAUUAUCUGCGCCGACUGCCCUGGGCCUCUUCAGCGGCGCUGCUUACAGCCGUCCCUUGUGGACAACUAUUUUAAAGCUUUGGCCUCAAAUCAGGUAGGACUACCCGCUGAACUUAAGCAUAUCAAAGGCCGGGAAGGAAA
rnacentral:rRNA from 1 species